AAUUUUUAAAAUCCGCGUUAAUUAAUUAAUAAAGUGCAUCGUUAAUUUCCUAUAAUAAGGUAUUUACCAGAACGCCCUUAGACAUAGUAACUUUGAUCACGAAUUUACGUACACUCGAUCAGGAUGCAUCUCAACGGACACAUAGGAAUAGGCAACGCAACAUAAUUUGGUUCAACCCACCAUUUAGUAGGCCUAAGAGUGUUAACACGAAUAUAGGACGGGAAUUCUUAAGAUUAAUUGACAAACACUUUACACAAUUACACUAAACUGACAACUGUAUUAACUGCGACAACAAAAACACUUGCCCACUACCGAAACAAUGUAUAUAUGACCAACAACAUUAUUUACAAAGCCACAGUCGUAGAGUCAGACGGAUUUAAGACUGGAAAGUAUGAACUAUAUACUGAAUGUCAUAAACAUACUCGUUUAUAUUAAUUCAGCAUCGAACAAUACUAGUUCUGCAAGUGUUUAUAUGUUAUGUUGUGUUAUUGUUCACUCGGUAAUAAGAUAAGGGCCACUGUUAUUGGGGUUUUUAACCCUGUUGUUGGUUCCUGACACUUUAAAGUGUUUAUGUGUGGUAUUUGUACGUUUGUAAUUUAAUUUUUCCUUUUUGUCAUAUCGAAAUAAAAAAAAAAAAAAAA